CGUUACAAACCGCAAUUUUUAACCCAUAUCUAAAGCAAGAAUAAUGAGCAUGAGCUCCUCAGUAUCUGUUGCUUGGAUGCUUAGGAGCAUAGGGAGCAGGGAGCUUUAGGCCUGAUGGCUGCCUGGGAGCUUCCUUCUGGAGGACACCAUAAUUGUAACAGUUAAUAUUUCACAAUGGUUUUGGUCUCUGCAAUAAUAAUUUUUCCACAUUCUAUUUACUGUAAAUCAUGUACUGUGUUGACUGCCUCCCUGUAAUGCAGUGUGGUUUUGUUCCACUUUCAUAAACACUGGGAGUUGGAAAACAUCCUUGAGUUUUGACAUACUGUGGUUUUCAAACUUGGGAAUCUUGAAAAGAAAAAAAAAGAAGAAUCCAAAUGAAGAAUAAAUUUUACUUCACUUUGACACUCAGUCUGCUGCCAGCCAAAUACUGCAAGAUUGCUCCUGGGUUUGGAAAUGAAUUUUACAAGUGGUUACAGAAUUGAAAACUCUUGUCAGAUCUUCUGGGUAUGAGAACUGGGAACUAUACACACACCUGGAUCUCAGCUUGUAUGAAAAUUAUGGAAGUACUUCCAGACACUGAUUAACCUACAGACAAUCUACUAAUCACAAAGUAACACCAGAGAGGAGCCCUGAGGCUGCUGAAUGAUACCAUUACUACAGGAGAGUUUCCAUCAGCUGAACGGAUGUUAGUUCCUUUGUGUUAGAGGUGGCCUUUAUAUAGCCAGGCACUGCAGUCAUAUCUAUAAAACACAGAAAAUAAUUGUUAGAACACUCACUAUACUCACAUAAGUAGCACGGAGGCCAGCACACUGCGUAGGUGUGCUCACACUGCUGCAGCUACACUGCUGGCAUGACCAAUGUAAUUUGUAGCAAAUUCAGCCCAGCCUAGAAAAGACUCAAUAUGACCCAGUACUUCUGAGGUCCAGCACAACUGU